CCUACGGGUGGCUGCAGUGGGGAAUCUUGCGCAAUGGGGGCAACCCUGACGCAGCAACGCCGCGUGAUUGAAGAAGGCCUUCGGGUUGUAAAGAUCUGUAAUUGGGGACGAAACAAAUGACGGUACCCAAAGAAUAAGCUCCCGCUACCUACGUGCCAGCAGCCGGGGUAAUACGUAGGGAGCAAGCGUUAUCCGGGUUUAUUGGGAGUAAAGGGCGAGUAGGUGGGGUGUCAAGUGGGGGGUGAAAGCCCGGGGCUUAACCCCGGAAAGGCUUUGGAUACUGCGGGUCUUGAGUGAUGGAGAGGCAGGCGGAAUUCCGUGUGUAGCGGUGAAAUGCGUAGAGAUAUGGAGGAACACCAGUGGCGAAGGCGGCCUUCUGGACAUUAACUGACGCUGAGGAGCGAAAGCGUGGGGAGCAAACAGGAUUAGAUACCCCUGUAGUC
rnacentral:rRNA from 1 species